UCGUCGAGCACUCGGCCCCCGAUACGGUCCGAGGCUUCGAGCAACGUCACCUGCAUGCCCAGUCGGUGCAGGUGGCCUGCAACCGAUAGAGCCACGGGACAACCAGCACACGCUUCUGUCUGCAAGAUGGAGCAGAUGGUAUUCUCAUUGCUUCGAGCAACGUCACCUGCAUGCCCAGUCGGUGCAGGUGGCCUGCAACCGAUAGAGCCGCGGGACAACCAGCACACGCUUCUGUCUGCAAGAUGGAGCAGAUGGGAUUCUCAUUGCUUCGAGCAACGUCACCUGCAUGCCCAGUCGGUGCAGGUGGCCUGCAACCGAUAGAGCCGCGGGACAACCAGCACACGCUUCUGUCUGCAAGAUGGAGCAGAUGGGAUUCUCAUUGUUAUAUUGAGUAUUUUGUUGUAUAGUCGAACCAACUUACAACGAUACCGCUUUGAACAAUAUAUCGGUUAUAACAAUGAGAAGCUGCGGCACCGUCAACUUUUGUUUGUUUUCUAUGGUGAAAGAACCCGCUUACUACAACGCCCC